rnacentral:rRNA from 1 species
UACGAAGGUCCCAAGCGUUAUCCGGAUUUAUUGGGUUUAAAGGGUGCGUAGGCGGACUGUUAAGUCAGUGGUGAAAGCUCCAUGCCUAACAUGGAAAUUGCCAUUGAUACUGACGGUCUUGAGUACAUUUGAAGUGGGCGGAAUGUGUCAUGUAGCGGUGAAAUGCUUAGAUAUGACACAGAACACCGAUUGCGUAGGCAGCUCACUAAACUGUAACUGACGCUGAGGCACGAAAGCGUGGGGAGCAAACAGG